AGAUUAAGUUAUUAAGGGCGCACGGUGGAUGCCUUGGCACUAGAAGCCGAUGAAGGACGUUACUAACGACGAUAUGCUUUGGGGAGCUGUAAGUAAGCUUUGAUCCAGAGAUUUCCGAAUGGGGAAACCCAGCAUGAGUUAUGUCAUGUUAUCGAUAUGUGAAUACAUAGCAUAUCAGAAGGCACACCCGGAGAACUGAAACAUCUUAGUACCCGGAGGAAGAGAAAGAAAAUUCGAUUCCCUUAGUAGCGGCGAGCGAAACGGGAAGAGCCCAAACCAACAAGCUUGCUUGUUGGGGUUGUAGGACACUCUAUACGGAGUUACAAAGGACGACAUUAGACGAAUCAUCUGGAAAGAUGAAUCAAAGAAGGUAAUAAUCCUGUAGUCGAAAAUGUUGUCUCUCUUGAGUGGAUCCUGAGUACGACGGAGCACGUGAAAUUCCGUCGGAAUCU
rnacentral:rRNA from 1 species